AAAGUGCUGGGAUUACAGGCGUGAGCCACCACACUGGCCCUUUCUUUUUAAUAUAAUUUACUUAAUUAUAAGAAUGUAUAAUUUCACCUGAAAUGAUGUUUCUUUUUGACAACCUGCAGGCAAAAUUCCUAAAAAUUUAGCAAGUGGCUCUUUGGGGCCAGUGGGAGCUGCUCCAGCAUACCACGGCUAGGAAUAGGUGGCGCUGGGACUCAGACGUGGUCUUUGUGACUCCUAACCCCUCUGCUCACAGCCCUACUUAUGGAGGAGGCCUGUCUCCACCCGUUUUCCAGCAGCCUGUUGCACAUCUGCUCCCCAUCCCGGUUCUCAGCUUUACUUCUUGGCCAUGUCCUCGGUUCUGUUGCUCCUCUUAUUGUCAAGUCUUAUCUACAGCAGGGCCUGGGCUGGAUAGAGACAAGCACAAGAGACCAGGUCUUUAAAGCUCUCAUGACAUGAAGCAGAAGAUUCAGGUUUGACCAUUCCCCUCUUCUUUCCAUCAAAUCCAUGGUGAUUGCUUUUACGUGAUGAAUUCAAGAGUGCCUGUGCUAAAUCCUCCAGAGGGGAGAACCUAUUUUAGGGUGAGGAGUUUCACUGGGCUUGUACAGAUUGCAUUGUGGGUAUUGGAGAGUUUGGGAGUUUGGUGAGACCUGAAAUUCCAUAAUGUGCUACCUGGGCCAUGAGUCUUGACCAGACAUCCUGUUGCAUUGGCAGGGCAAGGCCAGAGUCCCUAAUUGUGUCCUGAAAUGUCUGGGUUACACAAGAUGUCCCAAACAUACCAUCACGCACGUCUCUGCUCAAAACAUGGUUGACAGUAGUAACCUUUCUGGGCUUCCAUUUUCCUUGUUACGUGAGCAGCUUGCUUGCAUGUCCACAUCUGAAGAAGUGGAAUGUGAAGAGUGAAAACGAAAGUCUUGUAAUGGGCAUGCAUGCACGUUUAAACGAAGCAGGUUGUAUUAACCUUCCUCCAGGAACACAGAGAAAGCCCUGUCAGCAUUCUGUCGUGCUGUAGUCUGUUUGGAGGACUGUGAUUAAUAGCAAAUUAUCCAGCAUUGAGCAGUGACGAAAGUCAAAGAGAGUUGAAUCUCCCCGAAAUCAUUAUAGAGAUCAGAGUUUAUAUGCUGUAACUCCUUGGAUUCUGUCCCCGUUUAAUACAGAAGACAGGACCAGGCUAGGACAAAGCCAAUCCCAUUUAGUUUUGUGAGACUGUCCCAGAUGUGACUGUACGCAAUGCUUCAGCUUUCAGGAAGAGGCAUGAGCACUUCUCCACCUCCACGCAGUUGUGACAGGAGCAGGUGAAUGAGGAUGUGAGCAGCGGAGAGGCCUUAGAUUGAUGAGGAUCACUACCCAGGGAGAUCUUAGACUGCUUUGAUUUUUAUCCGAGCAGAAAGAAAGAGAGGCUUAGUAUUCUAGGAUGUCUGUUUCCAAUGAUGGGGACUCUAUAAAGAAAAGGCACCAUGUUCUCUGCAAUGAAAAAAGAUAGGUGGAGUUGUAGAGUGCUCCAAAUAGUCUUUGUAACCCAGAACACAGCAGGUUGUGGCCUGGAUGACUGGCGACGUCUGUGCUCUCCUAAAUAGAAGGCUGUGGUUCAUUUCUCAGUUUGAAGGCUGGCAGCCAGCUGUCCCCUAGGUGAGACGGGAAGGGACAAGCUUGUUUGUGCCUCUCAGUUUGGACUUAGGACAUCACUUAGUCCUUGGUUGGAGAAGUCUUUUCCUUCUGACACAUCACACAUGAGGAUAAGUUUCUAAAGGAGGACCUGAGGCAGCAAAACCUACCUAGGGCAGAAAUCUGGGGAAGAGGUAAUAGGGAGUCCUCUGACCCUGGCAAGAGGCAAGCUUCAUGGCCAAAUGACGCAGCUUCCUUCCGUGCUGUAUGUUCUCUCUGCCUUCUGAACAUUCAGAGAUGUCCAGCGUGUGUGCGCACUUGUCUAUAUACAUACGCAGGAGGACACGAAUGUGAUUCCUGAGUCUGUAAGUGUGGUUGACAGACUAGGUUUACCUAAAAGACCCUUUAAGAGAAAGCUCUUGAAAGAUGAUUACAGAAUUGAGACACCAUCAUUUAAAAGUGCUCGAGGCGAACUCUUUUGAAAAUUGCAGCAGCGGAGGGACAGAGAAAGAGCCCUGCCGCCCUUGAUUGUUGCGCUGCUCCCUCAGGACCCGUUCUCCCCCUCCCCCCCCGUUUCUCAUCUGAUAAGAGAGCGAGCAGCAGUAAGACUCCUCAUCUGUCUUAUGAAAAUUCGAUUCCGAGUGGCUGUGAUCAAAACCAACUGGCUGUCACCAGCAGUGGCCUUGCGCAGAGGGAGCCGCUCAGAAGCGUUCCGUAUGUGGGGGUGUCAUGGGUGGCACCGAUCAAAGGAGCAUUUUUUUAAUAAAUAUAUAUAAGGAAAAAUACAAAACCUAAGGAUUUAGAAUAAAAGCAGUGUAGUUUGUCUUGUUUUUCUCAGUGUAACAUGAAGAGGAUGAAAUGGAAUCAGAUAUGCCCGCUUUCUAAUGUUCUUCCACGGGCGUCUCUGAGAAGGUGCUCUCUGUCACAUUAAUACCACAUCACCCGUCUUGGGCCUUAUUGAAGAGAGUGGAGAGUUCCUUGGCUUCCAUUCCUUCCAGCCACUUUAUUUCUUCGUCACGUUUACAGUCCUUUACCCCUCCUUGUCCUUAAUACAUCUCCACAGAUAAAAGCUGGGACCUCCACGAGGCUCCGGGAGAGCCACUGCAGGAUGUUGUCCUGUUUCCUUCAAUUGAAAGUGACCAGCAGAGUGACGCUCCCUAAGGGUCACCCAGGCAGGUGACACUGGAGUCCUCUUCAGAAUGAGGUCACUUGAGACGGCUGGGCUGAAUGGGCCCUUCCCUAUGGAGAGUCCUCUCUGGGCCCUGCCUGUCUCUCAGGAACCCGACCUUUGAAUGACCUGCAAGGCUGAGUCCUGGCUGCCGCUUCCUUGUGUUGCCAAUACUGAUCCCUGCAUAACCUUCAGCAGACCUGGGUGGGAUGACAGCAACAUUGCUCUCUUGGGGGUGAUACUCAUGGCUCUUUCAGAAACAUGCUAACCUCCCUCCGUGGGUAACAUAAUGAGGUCCAGCAUUCAGACGCUAUAGUGUCUCCAGAGCCAGGUCGACAAACUCCCUUCUCUGCGGAAGAUCCAGGCAAAUCCCAGCUGUGCUGAGGCCUGGCUGACCUCAGAAACCCAACUCAGUCCAAACCUCCCUCCCCAUUGUCAGCCAAGAGAGCUGCCACAGCUUGGGGGAGCUGUGAGGAGCAAUCAACUCUUUUGAUCUUCAUCCUCUUAAGGUCUGUGAUCUUUUUUCCCUAGCAACAUCAGGAGAGAUUCACCUUGGAGGAGCACAGAGGCGUUUCAACAUAUGGGCACCCCAAACCGGCACUGUAGAAUAGGAUCUCCUCUCCCUAUUCCCCCAUCGCACGCCUCCUCGGGGACCUGCUUGUGCGUGGCUCCUGACCACGUACCCCACCAUGUCUGCAGGGCCACACGCAUGUGGUGUGCGGUCAGUCCUGUUGCACAGCUUUUGCAGCAUGGCUCCUUAGCCACUGUUGCAAUGUUCAGACUCUUUUCUCCUACCUGCCAGUAGCAAGUACAGCCCUGGACCCGGCUCUAAUCAGGUGAAAUCACAAGGGACACGUCUUCAUACAGCAGACCUGCCAGAGACCUGAGACGUGUUUGUGCCCCUUGUCCCCUGAUUCAAGGAAUGCAGCGGACCGCUCGGGAGCUCCUCUGAGACUUCCUCUUUCCCUUGUUCCUUCGGGUGUUUGAAGCCUGUUGCCUCCUGCUUUCCCUUUUCUUUCCCCUUUUAAAAAAUUCUCAAUUUUUUCACUUAGAAAAAAAAAUUAUUUAUACGAUUGAGAUCCACUAAUUAAAGCCAUUUUCUGGUAUUUGGUUACUGGAGCGUUUGAUGUCUCUCUGACAAGACCAUGAAAUGCACGGAGUGUCCACAGGGACAGAAUUUGCUGAACACGGCUCUUUGUAAAUGAGGGGACAUAGUGUCGCAGCAGCUCAUGAAUAUGAAACGCCCAUGAUGCCACCUCAGUGGACUUGGGAACACAGAUGAAUCCUGUCAUGUGCUAAAUGAGACCAAUUUCUUUCACUUAACUUCAUCUUCAAUCAGACCUUCUUCCAUUUGCCUGUUUAAAAUUCCCCAUACGUGAUGCUGAAGGUAACAGCAUUCAGUAAAACAAAGUUUUGCAGCUGCAGAGAAAAAUUAUAAUGAUCUCUGGUUUUAAGUUGCCAUCUCCUAAAAACAUGGACAUUGUUUCCUUCCACUUGAGAGCUCUGAAUGUCUGUUGACUUUGGGCACAGAAUUAGGGUCUGGACUGCCCUUACUGGGGUGUCCUUAAGCAGCAUGACCAGAUCCCUUUCAUGUGGAUUGGUUGUUGACUUGGCUAUGUAUGGCAGAUGUGAGCCCUAAGCAGCCUGUGAAUGCUGUCCAGUGGCCAGGACACUGAGUGGGAAAGAAGCUUGGGAAGAGAUUGUGUGUAACCAAAUAGGGCGUUUGCCUUUGGAAGCACCUGGAGUUCUCGAACUCUCCUUGUCAUCAGUGACAAUGAUGUGAGAGGGCUGGUGUCAUCAGUAAGCACCCUGAGGAAGCUGGAAAGCGAAGCCAACCAUUUGUAUCAUUUGCUCAAAUGUCAAGGUGAGAAAGUGCUGGAGUACAGAAGAGACUUGAUGUAGUUCUAUAGAAGUCCUUCUGAACAUGACCAGGGAGUCCCAUUCAGAAAUCCCCAACCAAGAAAAUUAGCCCAGAGUAGAACCUAAAGGCUUACAGAGAGAAAGAAGCACCCUGCCUGAAACAUCUCUGCCGGGGCGGGACCCAGGGGCCAGAUUGGGGUGCCUCCUUUGUUUGCGUCUUCCUGCCAGAGUUAGAUUUAUACUCCUGGUGACGAGCUGGAUAGUGCUUGGGGUAUACUCAUUGCAAGCUGAGUUCAAUCUAAGAAGUCACUUUCUGUUCUAGCAGUUCCCAAACAGUUAAACAACAGCUGGAUCUGAACACAUGCUAUCUCAAAACGCAUCACAGAGAUUUGGGGCUGGCUUCAUUGGAAGAGGCAGGUUUGCAUUGCUGUUGCUAUGCAUUAAUAAGCCUCUGUUGGGUACUUCCAGAAUGUGGAGGUUGGUGAAGAGCAGUGUGACCCAGCCUCUGGUUUGGAAGCCAGUUGGGCCAUAUGGACCAAAUUUGAAUGACUCUUCCUCUGAAACUUUGUCUCCAUGCAUCCAUUGUUUCUUGGAUAUGCACAAGCCUUUCUCAGUGGGCCUUGCAGCUCUGAAGGAAGCCAAAGCCUUUUCUAUGAUGUUAUCAAUGCCAGGAAGUGUCCAAGGAUUACUCUUGGUUGUUCUUGUGAAAUGAGUCCUACUCAGGCAGCAAUAGCAGGACUCAAUAGCAAUUCUAGUUGGAAUAAUGUAGAGAAGGUUGACGUGGCUUUUCCGGGUGUGUCACUUCCUGAUCUGAGGGGUGUGUGGUGACUGCAGUUCUUUUUUCCUAAUUUUUCCAGUCCUUGGAAUGCACAGGUACCUGGGGUGUGGCUUUGCUCUCAGCUAGUUCACCAUCCAGGGGGCAGACGUGGAGCAAAUUUCAUGUACUCUACCUCCUGCAAGGUAGUGAGGGCUACCCUGUGGCCACGAAUAAAGUAUUAUGGAAGGAUAAAGUAGGAAGCUUUUAUUUCUUUUUGUUAGGUCCAGAAGUGCGCCACUAAGGAGGGGACGUGCAUUUUCUAUCCUGCUUAGUCCCUCUGGGUUUCCCCCGUCAUGCCUUGGAAGGGGUCUGGCAUAGCGCAACCACAGUGUCCUGUCUUCAGUUUCUCCAGUGUGGCCAGUUACUUCUCACCACCAAGCACCUUUGCACAUGUUUUCUCCUGCCUGGCCGAAUCCGGCUCCUCCUUCAGCUUCAGCUGCCCUGUCCUCAGUUCAGAAAUACCUUCCUCCUCUAACUGCUCAAUCCUAACCCUGCUGACUCUAAUCCCACACGCCCAAAUUAAAUCCUCUCUGGACUGGAUUAAACGCAUUGUGGAGCAGUGUUCAAUAGAAUAUGAGAAGGUCAUUUAAAAGAAAAAAUACAUGUAUGUAAAAAUACAUGUAAGGAAAGAUACAAGCAAGGUACAGAACAGUGUCUGUGUAGUGUGAUCCCAUUUGUGAACACUUUCGAAGGACUUACAUGCUGUGUUAUUCGUGAAUUCUUUUCAGUAAAUAAAUAUGAAAAAGUCGUUAACAGUGAUUACCUAUUGGGAGAUGACUGGGUCUCACAGAAGGAAGGGACAUUUUCAUUCUAAGCCUUUCUAUAGCACUUGAAUUUAUUACUACCUAUAAUGUUACUUUUGUUGUGGAAAAUUAAUCAGGUUUCCCUGUUACUUUCCGUCAUGAGAUCCAGUUGGUUUCUUUCUUUGUGUGUAUUUUAAUUUGUAAGCAGUGCCUUUCUUUGUGUUUAUUAGCCUCUAUCAGACUGGUGCCCCAUGAAGACAGGGACCAUGUUUAUUUUACUUGCUGUUGUUACUGGCAUGGUACCUUUCACAUAGUGGGUGCUCCAUCAGUAUCCUUGAAUGGAUGAAUGGAUGAAUGAAUGAGUCUAUGAAUGAAUGAAUGAAUCUAUGAAUGAAUGAAUGAAUGAAUUAACAAGCAGACAAAUGGAGUUUCCCCACAGCGUGGCUGACCAGGUACCACGCGGGGCAGAGACAGGUUGAACAGCUAUGAAACAGCUAACACUGAGCCAGGGAGCAGUGCACAAGGCAAGAAGGAGUCUUCUGUUUAAGAAGAACAGCAUGGCCAUGAGAGGGUGGCACUGCCUUCCGGGGAACUGAGACAAAAACUGGGGAUACCAGCUCCCAUGGUGCCGGGGGUGUCACAGCCUCACCUUCUCGGGCUGUUCAAGGUGCCUGGCUGCCUCCUCCUCCUUGGGGCUGGUUUAAUAAGAUAGGGUUGGUGGCACAUGUUUUUUAUUCUGCUCCAUUUGGCCUUGUACGGAAGUAGCGAGUCGGGGUUUACAGUAAGGGAGAGGACUUAGCGGAUUUGUAGUUACUGGAAUCAAGAGAAAGACCCCAGAAGAGAGGACAUUAAGUUUCAGAGGACAUUGAGUGAAAGCUGCCUUGAGCAUAGGCAGCUGUCUCACCCCUUCACUGUAGGAGGAGGUGUCUUUGAAUGCGUUUCACUUUUGAGAAGGAAGCCCGUGUGGGGUGUGGCAGAGCUCAGGCAUUGCUGCCACAUUGAAGUGGGAAGCCUGGCUCAGUCCAUUAUUCAUAGUUUCACCCCAUGCAAGCUGCUGAAUCUUGCUUAGCCUCAGUGUUCUCUUCUGAAAAAUGGCCAUCACUGGGCAGCUGAAAAUGAAGGUGGAGCCAUAUAGUUCCUCUACAUACGUAAUAUUAGAAUAUCGGUUAAGUCUGUAAGAAUAGUUAUUGAAUAUUCUAUACUGAUCACAGUGCUAGUAUUUUAUAAAGAUCAUUGCAUUUAAUACUUACAGCAACUGAAUGGGUGGGCGUGAGUCCAACCUUCAUUUUAUUGAUGAAGAAAUUGAGGCAUAGAGAGAAAAAGUCACACAACUAGUAGGUGGUGGAUCCUGGGUUUGGAGCAGACCCUCCUGCCUCCAGAACCUGCCUCUUAACCGUGGAGCAGGAGUCCGCUGACACAGCAUGCUCCUGACCUCACUGCAGCCAUUCACGUUCUUCUCGGUAUUAGCAACAUUGAAGAAAAA